GCCGGUGUGGCGUCAUUGGUUUGAGUGCCGGACUAUGACUCUGGAGAUCAGAGUUCGAAUCCCGGCUCGGCCA